rnacentral:rRNA from 1 species
AUGAUUAGACACCGCAAGGGGCUGCGGCAGGGUGACCCUCUCUCGCCACUCUUAUUUAUCCUAGCCAUUGAUCCGGCACAUAGAGUGCUCAAAGCGGCGGUGGAGCAAGACCUGAUAUCACCAUUGCCAGGCCGAGAGAGCAAGCUCAGAGUCAGCCUCUAUGCGGAUGACGCGGUCAUCUUCGCAAACCCGGACCGGCAUGAAAUAGACACCAUCAUGGAGAUCCUAAUUGAGUUCGGAAAAGCCACUGGCUUGCAUGUCAACCCGGCGAAAUCAAUAGCAACACCGAUCAGAUGCGAGAAUUUUGAUCUCGCUGAGAUCCUCAGUAGUUUUGGCGGCUCCAUUACCUCCUUCCCUAUAAAGUACUUAGGCCUCCCCAUGAAGACCGCAUGGCUUAGAUUAGUGCACAUGUAGUUCCUCAUCGAUAGAAUUAGGGCUAGGUUAGCAGGAUGGAAAGACCGGCUGCUCCCUUUUGUCAGCAGAAGAGAGCUGGUCCGGAGCGUCCUCAGCGCGAUGACCACCUUUGCCCUCUCAGUGCUGCAAGUGCCACCAAAGCUGCUCAAGGAGAUUGACAAGUGCAGGAGUAGAUUCCUUUGGAAGCAGGAGGAGGCGAUAUCAGGGGCGAGCUGCAAGGUAAAUUGUCCAACGGUGUGUACUCCAACCGAGAGGGGUGGACUCGGGAUCCUGGACCUUCAAAGUUUCAGCCGAGCCCUCCGGCUACGUUGGCUAUGGAUUGCAUGGAAGGACCCGGACAGAUCAUGGGUUGGCACACCACCGCCAUGCGACGAGGAUGACAGAGCAUUAUUUGCCGCAGCAACAACGGUGACUGUUGGCGAUGGCAGAACAAUGAUCUUCUGGCAAUCAACCUGGCUGGGACCAGGAACCCUUGCUCAGAGGUACCCAAACCUGUUCCACCACUCCCGAUGCAAAAACAUGACUGUCUAUGAAGCGCUGCACAACCACACUUGGAUCAGCGACCUUGAGCAUGGUGAUGUCAACCAGCUACUGCCGGAUUUCCUGCAGCUGCACCAAAGAAUUCGAGAGGCAAACAUCAUACUCAAUGGAGAAGAAAGGGACCAAAUUCGGUGGAACCUUGAGGCGAAAGGAGGAUACACAGCAAACUCUGCUUACAAAAUGCAGUUCCAGGGCCGGCACUUGUCCGAGUUCGAUAGCAUCAUAUGGAAAACUUGAGCUCCAGGGAAGAUCAAGAUGUUUUUUUGGCUGCUACUGCAGGACCGAGUCUGGUCAAACAAUAGGCUCCAGCGUUGGGGCUAG